rnacentral:ribozyme from 14 species
GAAGUUUAAUUAUUUCUUUGUUUGUUUGAGAAAACUAGGAAGUAGAGGGAGAAGGAAGAAGAAACUUGACGGACAAGAGGGAAAUGGGAACACUCGUUUCACUUUUUAUUUUAUUUCACUCUUCUCCGUUUCCUUUUCA